CCUACGGGGGGCAGCAGUGAGGAAUAUUGGUCAAUGGGCGCGAGCCUGAACCAGCCACGUCGCGUGAAGGAUGACUGCCCUACGGGUUGUAAACUUCUUUUAUAAAGGAGUAAAGUGAGCCACGUGUGCCUUUUUGUAUGUACUUUAUGAAUAAGGAUCGGCUAACUCCGUGCCAUCAGCCGCGGUAAUACGGAGGAUCCGAGCGUUAUCCGGAUUUAUUGGGUUUAAAGGGAGCGUAGAUGGGUUGGUAAGGCAGUUGUGAAAGGGUGCGGCUCAACCGUAGAAGUGCAAUUGAUACUGGCAGUCUUGAGUACAGGUGAGGUGAGCGGAAUUCGUGGUGUAGCGGUGAAAUGCGUAGAUAUCAGGAAGAACUCCGAUGGCGAAGGCAGCUUACUAAACUGCCACUGACAUUGAUGCUCGAAAGCGUGGGUAUCAAACAGGAUUAGAUACCCGAGUAGUC
rnacentral:rRNA from 1 species